UUUCCGUAGGUGAACCUGCGGAAGGAUCAUUACUGAGUGAGGGCCCCUCGGGGUCCAACCUCCCACCCGUGUUUAACGAACCUUGUUGCUUCGGCGGGCCCGCCUCACGGCCGCCGGGGGGCAUCUGCCCCCGGGCCCGCGCCCGCCGAAGCCACCUGUGAACGCUGUCUGAAGUAUGCAGUCUGAGACAAGUAUUAAAUUAAUUAAAACUUUCAACAACGGAUCUCUUGGUUCCG
rnacentral:misc_RNA from 1 species